AUCGGUCCGAGGUGUAAGCGUGGCAACACGUUCAGCUGACGGAUACGAAUCGGUCGAGGACUUCUCCUG
rnacentral:rRNA from 1 species